GAUGAACGCUGGCGGCGUGCCUAAUACAUGCAAGUCGAGCGAACGGACGAGAAGCUUGCUUCUCUGAUGUUAGCGGCGGACGGGUGAGUAACACGUGGAUAACCUACCUAUAAGACUGGGAUAACUUCGGGAAACCGGAGCUAAUACCGGAUAAUAUUUUGAACCGCAUGGUUCAAAAGUGAAAGACGGUCUUGCUGUCACUUAUAGAUGGAUCCGCGCUGCAUUAGCUAGUUGGUAAGGUAACGGCUUACCAAGGCAACGAUGCAUAGCCGACCUGAGAGGGUGAUCGGCCACACUGGAACUGAGACACGGUCCAGACUCCUACGGGAGGCAGCAGUAGGGAAUCUUCCGCAAUGGGCGAAAGCCUGACGGAGCAACGCCGCGUGAGUGAUGAAGGUCUUCGGAUCGUAAAACUCUGUUAUUAGGGAAGAACAUAUGUGUAAGUAACUGUGCACAUCUUGACGGUACCUAAUCAGAAAGCCACGGCUAACUACGUGCCAGCAGCCGCGGUAAUACGUAGGUGGCAAGCGUUAUCCGGAAUUAUUGGGCGUAAAGCGCGCGUAGGCGGUUUUUUAAGUCUGAUGUGAAAGCCCACGGCUCAACCGUGGAGGGUCAUUGGAAACUGGAAAACUUGAGUGCAGAAGAGGAAAGUGGAAUUCCAUGUGUAGCGGUGAAAUGCGCAGAGAUAUGGAGGAACACCAGUGGCGAAGGCGACUUUCUGGUCUGUAACUGACGCUGAUGUGCGAAAGCGUGGGGAUCAAACAGGAUUAGAUACCCUGGUAGUCCACGCCGUAAACGAUGAGUGCUAAGUGUUAGGGGGUUUCCGCCCCUUAGUGCUGCAGCUAACGCAUUAAGCACUCCGCCUGGGGAGUACGACCGCAAGGUUGAAACUCAAAGGAAUUGACGGGGACCCGCACAAGCGGUGGAGCAUGUGGUUUAAUUCGAAGCAAUGCGAAGAACCUUACCAAAUCUUGACAUCCUUUGACAACUCUAGAGAUAGAGCUUUCCCCUUCGGGGGACAAAGUGACAGGUGGUGCAUGGUUGUCGUCAGCUCGUGUCGUGAGAUGUUGGGUUAAGUCCCGCAACGAGCGCAACCCUUAAGCUUAGUUGCCAUCAUUAAGUUGGGCACUCUAAGUUGACUGCCGGUGACAAACCGGAGGAAGGUGGGGAUGACGUCAAAUCAUCAUGCCCCUUAUGAUUUGGGCUACACACGUGCUACAAUGGACAAUACAAAGGGCAGCGAAACCGCGAGGUCAAGCAAAUCCCAUAAAGUUGUUCUCAGUUCGGAUUGUAGUCUGCAACUCGACUACAUGAAGCUGGAAUCGCUAGUAAUCGUAGAUCAGCAUGCUACGGUGAAUACGUUCCCGGGUCU
rnacentral:rRNA from 1 species